rnacentral:rRNA from 1 species
AACGAACGCUGGCGGCAUGCCUAACACAUGCAAGUCGAACGAGACCUUCGGGUCUAGUGGCGCACGGGUGCGUAACGCGUGGGAACCUGCCCUUAGGUUCGGAAUAACUCCCCGAAAGGGGAGCUAAUACCGGAUAAUGUCUUCGGACCAAAGAUUUAUCGCCUUUGGAUGGGCCCGCGUUGGAUUAGCUAGUUGGUAGGGUAAAAGCCUACCAAGGCGACGAUCCAUAGCUGGUCUGAGAGGAUGAUCAGCCACACUGGGACUGAGACACGGCCCAGACUCCUACGGGAGGCAGCAGUGGGGAAUAUUGGACAAUGGGCGAAAGCCUGAUCCAGCAAUGCCGCGUGAGUGAUGAAGGCCUUAGGGUUGUAAAGCUCUUUUACCCGGGAUGAUAAUGACAGUAACGGGAGAAUAAGCUCCGGCUAACUCCGUG